GUGGUCAAGCUAAUAAGGGCUAAUGGUGGAUACCUAGGCACACAGAGGCGAAGAAGGACGUGGUUACCGACGAAAUGUUCCGGGGAGUUGGAAGCAAACUGAGAGCCGGAAAUAUCCGAAUGGGGCAACCCUAAAUACUACCUGUUGAAUAUAUAGACAGGAAAGAGCCAACCCAGCGAACUGAAACAUCUUAGUAGCUGGAGGAAGAGAAAUCAAAACAGAGAUUCCCUAAGUAGUGGUGAGCGAAAGGGGAAGAGCCUAAACCAAAGGAUUUAUCCUUUGGGGUAGUGGGACAGCGAUAUCGAAUCACUUAGACUAGACGAAACAGCUAAAUACUGUACCAGAGGGGGUGAAAGUCCCGUAGUUGAAAGUCAAAGGAUAGUAGCUGAAUCCCGAGUAGUACGGAGCACGAGGAAUUCCGUAUGAAUCAGCGAGGACCACCUCGUAAGGCUAAAUACUACUGUGUGACCGAUAGAGAACAAGUACCGCGAGGGAAAGGUGAAAAGAACCCCGGGAGGGGAGUGAAAUAGAACAUGAAACCAUAGGCUUACAAGCAGUGGGAGUCCGAUUAAACGGAUGACCGCGUGCCUGUUGAAGAAUGAGCCGGCGACUUAUAGGCACUGGUAGGUUAAAGCGAGAAUGCUGGAGCCAAAGGGAAACCGAGUCUGAAGAGGGCGAAAAUCAGUGUUUAUAGACCCGAACCCUGGUGAUCUAACCAUGUCCAGGAUGAAGCUUGGGUAACACCAAGUGGAGGUCCGAACCGACUGAUGUUGAAAAAUCAGCGGAUGAGGUGUGGUUAGGGGUGAAAUACCAAUCGAACCAGGAGCUAGCUGGUUCUCCCCGAAAUGUGUUGAGGCGCAGCGGUAAUGAUUAAAUUUGGGGGGUAAAGCACUGUUUCGGUGCGGGCUGGGAGACCGGUACCAAAUCGAGACAAACUCAGAAUACCCAGAGAACACAUUGCCAGUGAGACAGUGGGGGAUAAGCUUCAUUGUCAAGAGGGAAACAGCCCAGACCACCAGCUAAGGUCCCCAAAUCAUCACUAAGUGAUAAAGGAGGUGAGAAUGCCUAGACAACUAGGAGGUUUGCCUAGAAGCAGCCACCCUUGAAAGAGUGCGUAAUAGCUCACUAGUCAAGCGUUCUCGCGCCGAAAAUGAACGGGGCUAAGUGAUGUACCGAAGCUGUGGGAUUACUAAAAAUAAUCGGUAGGGGAGCGUUCCGUAGUAGGGAGAAGCAGUAGCGGCGAGCAGCUGUGGACGAAACGGAAGUGAGAAUGUCGGCUUGAGUAGCGCAAAUGUAUGUGAGAAUCAUACACCCCGAAACCCUAAGGGUUCCAGAGCCAGGUUCGUCCACUCUGGGUUAGUCGGGACCUAAGGCGAGGCCGAAAGGCGUAGUCGAUGGACAAAGUGUCAAUAGUCACUUACUGUUCUGUGGGAGCAUAGACAGGGACGCAUGAAAGAUAGCCAUACCCUAAUUGGUUUGGGAGGGGUUUACGAACUCCGAGUGGUGAAGGAAAGUGCCAAGAAAAGCUGUGUAUGUGAUGAAGAUAGAACACCCGUACCCGAAACCGACACAGGUAGGGAGGUUGAGAAUACCAAGGGGCGCGAGAUAACUCUCUCUAAGGAACUCGGCAAAAUGGCCCCGUAACUUCGGAAGAAGGGGUGCCCACUGUAUAAGUGGGUCGCAGUGAAGAGAUCCAAGCGACUGUUUACCAAAAACACAGGUCUCCGCUAACUCGCAAGAGGACGUAUGGGGGCUGACGCCUGCCCAGUGCCGGAAGGUUAAGGAAGCUGGUCAGCGAAAGUAAAGCUGGCGACCGAAGCCCCGGUGAACGGCGGCCGUAACUAUAACGGUCCUAAGGUAGCGAAAUUCCUUGUCGGGUAAGUUCCGACCCGCACGAAAGGCGUAACGAUUUGGAUGGUGUCUCAGAGAGAGACUCGGCGAAAUAGGAAUGUCUGUGAAGAUACGGACUGCCUGCACCUGGACAGAAAGACCCUAUGAAGCUUUACUGUAGCCUGGAAUUGUGUUCGGGCUU
rnacentral:rRNA from 1 species